GUGAUUGACAAAAUGAAGGCAAAAACGGUUUCCUAAACCGGAGCUCGGAGGUUCGACUCCUCUCGGGACCGCCA
rnacentral:tRNA from 1 species